CCUACGGGAGGCAGCAGUGAGGAAUAUUGGUCAAUGGGCGAGAGCCUGAACCAGCCAAGUCGCGUGAGGGAAGACGGUCCUAUGGAUUGUAAACCUCUUUUGUCGGGGAGCAAAAGGCGGUACGCGUAGCGCACCGAGAGUACCCGGAGAAAAAGCAUCGGCUAACUCCGUGCCAGCAGCCGCGGUAAUACGGAGGAUCCGAGCGUUAUCCGGAUGUAUUGGGUUUAAAGGGAGCGUAGAUGGGUUGUGAAGUCAGUGGUGAAAGUUUGCGGCGCAACCGUAAAAUUGCAAUUGAUACUGGCAGCCUUGAGUACAGAUGAGGUAGGCGGAAUUCGUGGUGUAGCGGUGAAAGGCUUAGAUAUAACGAAGAACUCCGAUUGCGAAGGCAGCCUACUAAACUGCCACUGACAUUGAUGCUCGAAAGUGUGGGUAUCAAACAGGAUUAGAUACCCUAGUAGUC
rnacentral:rRNA from 1 species